CUGCAGUGAUGACUUCUUAGGACACCUUUGGAAUUUAAGAUGAAACUAACUUUCAGAACUGAGCGGC